GGCUCAGGACGAACGCUGGCGGCGUGCUUAACACAUGCAAGUCGAACGAUGAACCACUUCGGUGGGGAUUAGUGGCGAACGGGUGAGUAACACGUGGGCAAUCUGCCCUUCACUCUGGGACAAGCCCUGGAAACGGGGUCUAAUACCGGAUAUCACUCUCGCAGGCAUCUGUGAGGGUCGAAAGCUCCGGCGGUGAAGGAUGAGCCCGCGGCCUAUCAGCUUGUUGGUGAGGUAACGGCUCACCAAGGCGACGACGGGUAGCCGGCCUGAGAGGGCGACCGGCCACACUGGGACUGAGACACGGCCCAGACUCCUACGGGAGGCAGCAGUGGGGAAUAUUGCACAAUGGGCGAAAGCCUGAUGCAGCGACGCCGCGUGAGGGAUGACGGCCUUCGGGUUGUAAACCUCUUUCAGCAGGGAAGAAGCGAAAGUGACGGUACCUGCAGAAGAAGCGCCGGCUAACUACGUGCCAGCAGCCGCGGUAAUACGUAGGGCGCAAGCGUUGUCCGGAAUUAUUGGGCGUAAAGAGCUCGUAGGCGGUCUGUCGCGUCGGAUGUGAAAGCCCGGGGCUUAACCCCGGGUCUGCAUUCGAUACGGGCAGACUAGAGUGUGGUAGGGGAGAUCGGAAUUCCUGGUGUAGCGGUGAAAUGCGCAGAUAUCAGGAGGAACACCGGUGGCGAAGGCGGAUCUCUGGGCCAUUACUGACGCUGAGGAGCGAAA
rnacentral:rRNA from 1 species